AUGCUUCACUGUGUGAGUCUCUGACCUCCCAGCGCCAGUUGGCAUGGACUGGACCACCGUGGCCAUCAUGGGUGACAGGAAAUCAGGGCUCGAUUCCGGAGAGGGGUCCCGAAGACACGGCUGCUGUUGCCAAGGCGAGCAGCAGGC
rnacentral:rRNA from 1 species